UACAGAGGUCUCAAGCGUUGUUCGGAUUUACUGGGCGUAAAGGGUGCGUAGGCGGUGGCGUAAGUCGAGUGUGAAAUCUUCCGGCCUAACCGGAAAACUGCACUCGAUACUGCAUCACUAGAGGACUGUAGAGGAGACUGGAAUUCACGGUGUAGCAGUGAAAUGCGUAGAUAUCGUGAGGAAGACCGGUGGCGAAAGCGAGUCUCUGGGCAGUUCCUGACGCUGAGGCACGAAGGCUAGGGGAGCAAACGGG
rnacentral:rRNA from 1 species